UUAAUUGAAGAGUUUGAUCAUGGCUCAGAUUGAACGCUGGCGGCAGGCCUAACACAUGCAAGUCGAGCGGCAGCACAGAGGAACUUGUUCCUUGGGUGGCGAGC
rnacentral:rRNA from 1 species